GUUAAAAAUGGUAUUUCUUAUGGUAUUUUGUACGGUAGUAAUUAUGCUCUCUCCUACAUUAAGCAUGGUACUCACAGAACUCAGGCCUUGCUAUUAUGCACCACCUGUUUCUUCCCGAGACACCACCUACCUAGCUACACAGACAGGACAGGAGGAAGGCCUACUACUAUUACCUCAAAAAACAUAAUAAUUUUCAUAUUUGAAUGUUAUCCUUCUAGGGUACGUGUGUGUAUAGGUUGGUAUGGCCUUUUCUUCACCUGCGUUUCAUCAUCUGUGGAAAAUAUAUUGUGUUAACUGUACUGUUUGUGUUUCCAUUCGUCCCUGUUAGGAAACGCCGGGGUACCCCAGGGUACCACACGAAUGCUAUAGGAACUUCUGUAAUUUAACAGAUAUUAAAAGAGCAAUCAACAAAAAGAGAAAAAUACAAGAGGAAUCCACAGAAUCAAGUGGUAUGGAAAUUGAAGGUCCACAAAUUGUUGAACCAAAGCCAAACCGAAUUCUUCGGGGAGAUUGGGGAGAUCUUGCCUCAGCACCUAGCAGUUUACUUGAACUAACAUAUUGUUCCUGUAAAAAAACCAAUUGCUGUAAACCUUCAGGUUCAAGUAAAGGUAGAUGUUCUUGUCGUCAGCAUGGUGUUUGUUGCACAAGUCUAUGCAAAUGUACAGAGUGUCAAAACCCUGUCUCUACUGAAGAUAUUCAUGAUGAUGAUGACGAUGAUGAUGAGGAAGACGACGAUGAAGAAUUUGUUGAAGAACAAUAGUAUUGUACUUGUAUUUGAUUGAAUUACGGUUCAAGAUGAAGGCAGAUGUUCUUGUCUCGGCAUGGUGUUUGGUGCACCCACAAGUCGAUGCAUGCACAGUGUCAAACCCUGUCUCUACAAAAGAGAUUCAUGAUGAUGAUGACGACGAAGAAUUUGUAGAACAUUACUGUAAUUGCAUUUGACUGAAUUACUAUAAUAAUGAAGGUUUGAAUACUACAUUAUAUCAUUUGCACAACACUAAAAAUGUUAUACAUGUACUAAAAGUUUUCUUAAUGGCCAUAUAAAGCAUUAACAUUACAUUAUGGUCCAUUUCACUUAUUUUAUAGAACUUGUCAUAGAAAUGUGUGUAAAUCAGUUAAUACUGCAUUUUUUCAUCUGCAUUUCAUUUUCAUACUGGAAUUUAAUAAAAUUUGAUUCUUAAAAAUUUGUAAAUCAUUCAAUUUUAGGUUAAUUCGUGUUAUAACUGAUUUUUAAGUAAAUAAAUACAGUUAAAGCCAUUGAAUAUUGGAUGGACGUUAAACAUGUUCAGAAAUUAGUAAAUAUAUUAUGGCCAUCCUAUUUCAAAGUAUUAUGCAAAUAGAGAAUACAUUAUUGUGCCAGGUAUGUCUUUUAAAGAUUUACUAAACAACAUAUUUACUACUUUUUGUUGUCUUGUGUUUACUCGGCUUUAAAUUUUUCAAGGGUUGGAAGGGUAGUUAGGGUUUGGGAUAGCUCGUUCCAAUCGAUUAUUGUUCUGGGUAAAAAACAAUACUGGUAUCUUGAUGUCCUGGCAUUGAUGCGCUGGUAUGCAUUCGCAUUUUGGUAUCUGUUAGGUUGAGAGUGAAUCUUUUUAUGGGAGUCUCUGAUAUACUACUGGAGAUAUGCCACUGUGAAUCUGAUAAAAUUGGAUGAGCUUUUCAACUUUCCUUCUGUCUGCCAGGGUGGCCAGUGGUUCCCAUCCUAACCUGGUUAGCAUUUUGGUGACAAUAGUUUGUAACACUAUGGGUUUAACUGCUGAAAUUCAUUGUCACUGAUAUUUUGAAAAUUGAGUAUGUGAAAUUUGACAUACAAUUGUUAGUGUUUGUUGUUUAAUGCAUACAUUUUAUUUUUUAUGAACUCUGAGCAAAUGUAGUCUUAGUCUGUUUGAUGAAUGCUGCUACCAACACCAUACCAUGUACUUUGUUGACAAAUUUGAUGAACAUAUUACUUUCCUUUGUAAAAACAUGAAUGUUGAUACCAACUUGAAAUAAGGCCCCAUAAAAAAAAUUAUUAGUUUAUCACCUUAUUAAAGAACAAAAACUGAUGAGGGAGAGAGGUUAUUUUGUUUUUGUUUUUCUUUUGCUAGCCCCGCCCCAUUUUUACAGAUGUUUGCUGGUAAAUUUAUAGAUUUAAGGACAAAUAUAUAAAAGGUCAUAAGAAUAGAAUCAAACGUAUAUAAACAAAAAAUGUUUUUGUGGUACCAGUAAACAUAAAUGCAAGAAAUCCUGAGCUUUUCAAGUGAAAAAAAGGUGGAAAAUGAUUAUUUUAAAUAAAUGAAAAAAAAAAUCAGGAUUUCCCCAAAAGUGAUGAGGGAUGGGUGAUAAACUAAUAAUUUUGUUUACGGGGCCUAACAUCAUACAAUGUGUUUUAUUGAGAAAUGUUAUGACUAUAAUUUAUUAAGUUUCUCUUGUAUUAAAUAGUUUUAAAAAAAAGCUUAACAUUUAUUUUCCACUUAAAUUGAUUAUUGGAUUGUAAAUUUACAAUACAGUAAGAAAAGAAAAUACUGUAUCUGAACAGUAUUUGCUGAUUAGGAAUACAGCAGAACUUUCAUUAUAGUUUGUUAUGUAGUAGUUAGUAAAAUUUAUGUAUUUAACUCACAUUUAAAUGGAUUGGAUUGAACUCUACAGUUAUGUAAAGCAGCUCCCUAAGGUGUAUGAUGUGUUUAUGAAUAAUAUUCAUAAAAGUAUUCAGAUUUUUAUUAUAAAUAAAGUUGUUUCAACUUACACAUGUUCACUCUGUUGUGUAUUUGAUUUGGGUUACAUACCAAUAAAUGAUCAGGGAGAUAAUGAACUAGUUAGUUGAACUGAGGUAUAAAAUAUUACAUAUCUGCUCACCUCCUUAUUGGAAUCAUCAACUUCUAUAUUCAUUCAUUCAUUCAUUCAGUCUCAAAAUGUCAGGUAGUCCGGAUAGGGAAUAUACAGGAAUUCUCAAAUUCUACGAACAUACAUAGGCCUAGUAUUACUUAGCUAACACACAUUCAAUACAGUUUGAGUACCUAUCUAUAUAGGCCUACUAUACAAAGUCGCCGGACAGAGGCCUAGGAAAUACGGUAUGAUAGUCGGAAGAAGACUGCAGUUGUAAUGUACUACCUCCACAAUUGUACUACUAUACCAAUAUCUUGUAUAAAGGCUGUAUACUUAUAUUAUAUUGAAAUAUUCCACUAAAAUUGGAGAACUAUCAUCCAAAAUACUGUACACACUGCAAUUUUCCUCGCAACAUUGUUUACAUUAGUUAC
rnacentral:lncRNA from 1 species